rnacentral:rRNA from 1 species
UACGAAGGGGGCUAGCGUUGCUCGGAAUCACUGGGCGUAAAGGGCGCGUAGGCGGCCAUUCAAGUCAGGGGUGAAAGCCUGUGGCUCAACCACAGAAUUGCCUUUGAUACUGUUUGGCUAGAGACCGGAAGAGGUAAGUGGAACUGCGAGUGUAGAGGUGAAAUUCGUAGAUAUUCGCAAGAACACCAGUGGCGAAGGCGGCUCACUGGCUCGGUACUGACGCUGAGGUGCGAAAGCGUGGGGAGCAAACAGG